UCUGAAACAACUCCCAUCCCAGCCCCCCAGUGGGAGCCACCACAUCCCCAACGGCAAGAACUUCCGGUCUGAUAUGGACCCCACCCGACUCCAAGUUAACAGGGAGUUUGCCAGGUCCUUGGAAGCCGUCCUUGGAAGAAUCUUUGAGUGAGAGCCAAAAGAUGUGGUUCCCCCAACCCCAAGAGGACUCAGAGAAGGCUGCGGUACAACAUCCUGAGUCCAGGUUCAUCCGACACCAGCCGCCUCCAUCAUGCCACUCAGUUCAACCCCAAUGGAGUCAAAGUUGUGUACUCGAGGUGCACUGGAGGUGAGGUUGGCGCCACAUAUGCCCGGCCCCCAAGAUCAGUCUGGGUCUGUCUCCAAAAAAGGUUGGUGAUGACAUUGCCAAGGCAACCAGUGACUGGAACAGUCUGAAAAUUACAGGAAAACUGACCAUCCAGACUGACAGGCCAGUAUCGAGGUGAUGCCCUCUGCCUCUGCCUCACCCUGAUCAUCAAAGCCUUCAAGGAGCCACCAAGACAGAAAGAAGCAGAAGCACAUUAAACACAGUGGAAAUGUCACUUUUGAUUGCCUGGCACAUGCAACACUGGUCUUUAGUCAGAGCACUUUCUGAAACUAUUGAGGAGAUCCUGAGUAAUGCACAGUCUGUAGGCUGCAAUGUGGAUGGCCACCCUGUGACAUCAGCAGUAGUCUCGUGGGAUGCCCAGCUAGUUAAUAAGCAACGAGAGAAAAUAUUUAAAUAAAAGACAAUCUGGUUAAAAAUAAAUAAAUAAGCUGGGUGAGCCACGCUUCUAAUCCUGGCAGGCAGAUCCUGGGAAUCAGUGGUCAGCCACUCUAGCCUUCAAGGUGAAUUCCAGGCCAGUGAGAGACCCUAUCUCAAAAAACAAACAAGGUGGAUGGUACCCGAGGAAUGACAGCUGAAAGUGUCCUCCAGUCUCUACAUACGCACCCAGAUGUAAAGGAGUGCGUGCACACACACACACACACACACACACAUAUGCACAUGCAAAUUCAAAAUGACUGUGUCACAGACAUCUUUGCUAGCUACUUUAUAACAAAGCAGCCUCCUAAAGUUGCACUUUAUCCAGGCCAUGGUUACAUGGUUAGAUACACUGUCUCAAAAUAAAUAAGUAAAUAAAAG